rnacentral:snRNA from 2 species
ACUCUUUUUAGUAGUAUUGUUGAUAAUAAAACGAUACAGAGAAGAUUAUUAGCAUGGCCCCUGCGCAAGGAUGACACGCACAAAUCUAGAAAUGGUUCAAAUUUUU